rnacentral:rRNA from 1 species
UCGGGAAUUUUGUGCAAUGGGCGAAAGCCUGACACAGCAACGCCGCGUGAAGGAUGAAGCCCCUCGGGAUGUAAACUUCGUAAGAAUAGGAAGAAUAAAUGACGGUACUAUUUGUAAGGUCCGGCUAACUACGUGCCAGCAGCCGCGGUAAUACGUAGGGACCAAGCGUUGUUCGGAUUUACUGGGCGUAAAGGGCGCGUAGGCGGCAAUUCAAGUCAUCUGUGAAAUCUCCGGGCUUAACUCGGAACGGUCAGAUGAUACUGCUUUGCUAGAGUGCAGAAGGGGCAAUCGGAAUUCUUGGUGUAGCGGUGAAAUGCGUAGAUAUCAAGAGGAACACCUGAGGUGAAGACGACCACCUGGACUGAUACUGACACUGAGGUGCGAAAGCGUGGGGAGCAAACAGGAUUAGAUACCCAGGUAGUCCCUGAGCGGGCUGGCAAGGCGCAU